CGAGGUUGAGAGUAUGAGCUGCGGGUCGUAAAUGCACGACGGGCAGUUUCGAUAUAGAACUUGGAGCGCCCUUAGCAGCGGUUGUAUGCAGAACCGGUAAGCUGUGAUUAUCUGGAAGUUUUUCAAUACAAGGGACUGCCUAGUUGGUGUUUGACAGCUUUUGUAAGCUCUCCGAGGAGAAAUUAUUGACAGACGUGUAGAAAGGCAGAAACCAACGCAAGUUUUUUCGUGUCUGAUGAGCUCCUCCGUCGCACCGCUGGUGGUAAGAUGGCUGUGCAGUUGGAUGGAGGAGGGAAGGAGGACUUGAAAACACAGUUUGUCACGCGGGAAGGAACUUACAAGCUAAUGACUUUGUCGGAGUACUCAAGACCAAACAGGGUCGGUUACACGAAUAGUCAAGGAAGUGCAUCCGUUAGGGUGUCUUUCGUAACUUUACCGGAUCCAGCAGAUCCCACGGGUACACAAGGACUUGGUGACCGAAUGUGUUUCAAUUUUGGCAAAGAGCUUUAUGUUUAUGUCUAUCGAGGAGUUAAAAAGGCUGUGGACUUAAAUAAACCAGUGGACAAAAAAUUAUACAAAGGAACUAAUCCAACUUGCCAUAAUUUCAAUCAAACAACUGCAACUGCGGAUAGUGCACCAUUAUUGGUUGGUUUUUCUACAGGUCAAAUUCAACUGAUAGAUCCAAUAAAAAAGGAACUCAGUAAAUUAUAUAAUGAAGAUAGAUUGAUUGAUAAAAGUAAAGUGACGUGUAUAAAAUGGGUUCCUGGAUCAAACAAUCUUUUCUUGGUAUCCCAUAGUUCUGGGCAACUAUAUUUAUAUAAUGAAGAACUUUUAUGUGGUACCACAGCCCCUCACUAUCAAUCUUUUAAAUCUGGGGAUGGUUAUGCUAUAUAUACCUGUAAAACAAAAUCUACGAGAAAUCCAUUAUAUAGAUGGGUAAUAGGUGCAGAAGGAUGUUGUAUAAACGAAUUUGCCUUUAGCCCAUGUGGUUCAAAUUUAGCAGUUGUUUCCCAAGAUGGAUUCCUACGAGUAUUUCAAUAUAAUACAAUGGAGUUAGUGGGUUCAGCUAGAAGUUAUUUUGGUGGAUUUUUAUGUGUCUGUUGGUCUCCAGAUGGAAGAUAUGUUGUUGUGGGCGGUGAAGAUGAUCUUGUGACAAUUUGGAGUUUUCAUGAAAAGAGAGUGGUAGCUCGGGGUCAAGGUCAUCAUAGUUGGGUAAGCGUAGUAGCUUUUGAUCCUUAUACUACUUCCUAUGGAGAUCAUGAUCCAGACUUUAGUGGUUCAGAUGAUGAAACACUACCACACAAUAACCAUAAUCAUUACCAUGAGAAGGCCAAUCGUUUGUCUACAACCUCACAAGGAAUUCAUUCAAACAGAAACUCUUGUGGUUCAGAAUUAAGAGUGUCUGGUGGUACAUGCUAUAGGUUAGGUAGUGUAUCACAAGAUACUCAGUUGUGUUUGUGGGAUAUCACAGAAGAUGUGUUAAGACAACCAAUGUGUGCAAAACAAAGGCCAUCUGCAGCAGGUUCUAGUACUCUUCCUACAUCUGGAACAGUCAACAGUGGAAAUGGUUCGACAACGAAUCACCAUUUGAACAAUUCUAAACAUAAUAAUUUGAAUAAUAUUAAUUGCAAAGAAAACGCGAGUGGUAAUAAUGAUAGUAGUAAUAAUAGCAUGAGUACAAAUACAGCAGUGUCAACUGUAAAUUCUUUGACACAAAGGUUAGCAGGCCUUGGUUUUGGUGAACGUAAAGGUGAUAAUCAUAAAAGGAACUUUAGCCUCACUAUGAGAGGUAGUGGUGCAUCUAAUAGCACAAUAAUACAGAACAGUAGUGGUGAUAAAGCUACCACUAAUUUAAAUACAAGUAGUAAUUUGAACAGUGUCAGUGGAAGUUUAGUAGGUGCAAAUAAGAAGGUUAGUUCUGUGAUGGACGAUCCUAUGAGAUUGAUAGGAACUGCCUGGUGCCCUAGAUUUGAUGAGUGCCCAGUGCUAGAACCACUGGUGUGCAAGAAGUUGGCACACGAAAGAUUGACUGAAUUAGUGUUUAGGGAAGAUUGCUUCGUAACAGCAUGUCAAGACGGAUAUGUCUACACAUGGGCAAGGCCUGGUCACAUGUGACAGUCUUAUAAUUUUAUCGGAAGAUGCUUGUGCUUGUUUCUUAAGCCGGUGGGACAUUAAUUUUUUACUUUGAUUGGAAAGAUUAAUGUUCUGUACCAUGCUUUGGCUGAUGCAAGAGAAUCAUGGAUGAGUCUUCCCAAAGUUUAUCGCAUGCCAGGAAUAGGACAGGUUGGAAAUGCUCUCCACGUUGUCAGUCCUGCGGAAGGGGGUGGUACCAUAGUAUAGCCAGAACCAGAUAUUAAUACAUCUUCAAAGCACGAAGAAAAAUACGUCCCAUUAAUGCGUACACUGCAAUCUUCCAAAAUGCAGUUUCAACCAUAUACCCAUUAUCGUCACUUGUAUUAUGUAUGGCCAAGUGAAAAUUAUUCCAGUGUUGUUUGAAAAAUGGGUGAUUUCAAAAGCAUCUAACAAUUGAUUGCUUAAAAAUACAUUUUUAUUUGGUAAGUUAUUUUUGGUGAAUUGCCCUUCUUUUCUAAUUUAUUUUUUCUUUUUUAAACGCAAUGAAGACGUUCAAAUUUCAUAAUGUUAUACAAAUUUUAUAAAAGAAUCCAGCGAAAGUAAUACAUAAAUUGUGUGUACAUGUAUAUAUGUAUACAUAUGUAUGUUUGAUCUUACAUACUGUACUAAAUCAUUCCAAUAAGACCCACUUAGGAAAAUUAAUUUCAAUUGAAUGGUGUUAAUACUAAAUGCUUAUAUAUAUUGACAAAAAAUUUUAUAUUACCAAUAUUUAGUUAUAAUUAUGUAGAAAAAUGAUUUUAAAUAGUUAGCUUCUUGUGGCAUAGAUUAAAAAACAGUGCAACUAUUGUAAUCAGUCAGAGCAAUAUGUAAAUAUAAAAUAUUUUAAACAGUAUUUUAAUUUGCAUAUUUGUGUUAUUAGGUAUUAAUUGUUUUUAUUUUGAGUAAUAUUAUAUACAAAAAAAAAAAGAGAAUUAGCUAGUAUACAAAACAGAAUUUAUGUUAUUUCAGUUUUUAAAUUUAAUUCUAGCAAAUAUUAUUUUUUUAUGUCGUUAACUGUAAGAAAUAUUUACUGAAAAUAUAUGUUAUAUCUUCUUUAUGUUUCACUUCUUGUUAAUGCAGUUCAGGUAUAUAGUCGGGUUAUCGCUAACUAAAUUGCCUUAAUAAGAUUGUAAGUUAAAUAAAGAAAAUUUUUAUUUGUUCUAUAAUGUGGUUACACAAAUAUGUUUCUGAGAAACUUGUUCGCUUUAUUGAAAAUCUAUAAUGAGUGCAUCGUCGAUGUACGAUCAGUUGAAAACGUAGUGUAAAAAGUGACUUUAUAUCUGAGAGCUACAAAAUAUUGGUCAUAAAUAAUUAAUUAAAACUCUAACUAAAAAAAUAACUUGUAUAUUUUUACAAUAGUUAUUUUAGAUUUCUAUCUAAUUAUAACUCUGUAUGGAGCUUUUUGAAAGAGCUUGUGAGACAAAUAUUAUAUCUUUUAAUUCAAUUUACAAAGGUUCUAUGUAUUCUUAUUAAAACAUAACAAUGAAUCAUUUUUACAACGAAUAAAUAGAUAUUUUUAUAUAGUUCUCAGAUACGAAAGUCUAUCCCAGUAAACAAAUAAUUGUGAAUGUAUGAACAAAUAGUUACUGAAUAUUCUAAUGAUAGACAGUAUUUCAUAUUGCAUAUUCCAUACGGCGAUACUAUUUAUUACUUUAUAAAAAUAAAUAAUUAAAGAAAUAUAUAUAUAUACAUAUAUAUACACACGUUAAAAUAUUAACGUCAGAAUGUAAAAACGAUUUGUAUUGUUGUAAUUUUUAAACAGUUUGAAACGAUGAUGCAUUUUUUCAUCUAUCAUGGGCAUUUUUUUCAAAAUAUUAUUAAUUUAAUGACGAAAUACAAACGAAAUACAGAAUUGUAAUUAUAUAAAACGUAUUUAUUCAUUAUUAUACAAAGUUAGUAAGUAAACUAUAUGAUUUAGAUAAUUGUGAACCAGUGUUUCUUGGACAAUAAUAUUUGUCAUGGCAUGCAUUCAAAUAAUCAUUAAUAUUUUACGAUUGUGAACAUUAUGGAUUCAAUUCAUAUUUUAAUCAUUGAGAAUCACUGGUCUUGGCGAUACUAUACUUUUUCUGAAAUUUUUUUAUAAAAUUAUCAAAAGUAUUCCAAAAGAUAUUUUUAUGUAUAUUCGUAUACUUUAUGUUAUAAGUAAAUGAAUUAUUCAAUAUAUAUGCGUAUUGUGUAUAUAUUAAUAAUUUCUGUUUUUAUGCAGAUAAAAUUAAUGGAGAGACAGAGGUAAUUCUGUUUUGAAAGGUAUGUUUUAAUAUGUAAAGAAAAACAAUAACAAUUAUGUUUUUAUGUUAAAUUAAUAAACAUAAAAAUGUUAUUGCAAUAAUAACAGCAUCGUAGCUUUCGUGAUAAUUGUCGGUAUUUCAGGCAAGAAUUGACAAGCUUUGUUUUGUUAUUUGAAACUUCACGCUUGAUACCGUCUACUUUUCGAUAAACAAUAAAUAUGUAACAUUGCUCUUUUUCAUUCAAGCUCUUCGAGAUGUACUGUGAUACAUGCGUAUGCUGACAUUGACUAAUUACCUAAUUGUAAGUAACGAAAGUGAGAAUUAUGCUAAUGUCGUGUGUUGAGGCGAAUAAUUAAUUUUCAAGCUGUUGAUUGACUGUUUCUUAUAUCGGUAUGCGUUAUUAAGCCGGAAAUAAUCGGAGGUUGGCCUGUUAGAUACCAAACUAUAUUUCAUUUAUUGAAUCGGAGAUUUAUAAUGUUCCUACAUUGUAAACUAAUUAACGAGUCCAUAAUAAAUAAUGUUUUAUUUCA